rnacentral:rRNA from 1 species
AGUGAACGCUGGCGGUAGGCCUAACACAUGCAAGUCGAACGGCAGCACAGUAAGAGCUUGCUCUUACGGGUGGCGAGUGGCGGACGGGUGAGGAAUACAUCGGAAUCUACUUUUUCGUGGGGGAUAACGUAGGGAAACUUACGCUAAUACCGCAUACGACCUACGGGUGAAAGCAGGGGAUCUUCGGACCUUGCGCGAUUGAAUGAGCCGAUGUCGGAUUAGCUAGUUGGCGGGGUAAAGGCCCACCAAGGCGACGAUCCGUAGCUGGUCUGAGAGGAUGAUCAGCCACACUGGAACUGAGACACGGUCCAGACUCCUACGGGAGGCAGCAGUGGGGAAUAUUGGACAAUGGGCGCAAGCCUGGUCCAGCCAUACCGCGUGGGUGAAGAAGGCCUUCGGGUUAUAAAGCCCUUUUGUUGGGAAAGAAAAGCAGCAGGUUAAUACCCCGCUGUUCUGACGGUACCCAAAGAAUAAGCACCGGCUAACUUCGUG